GUGCCUUUGGUGCAAUGGUAGCAUCGCAGUCUCCAAAACUGUUGAUAGAGGUUCAAAUCCUUUAAGGCGCG
rnacentral:tRNA from 1 species